UUUACUAGAGAUGGGUUUUCACCAUGUUGGCCAGGAUAGCCUCGAUCCCUGAACUUGUGAUCCUCCCACCUUGGCCUCCCAAAGUACUGGGAUUACAGGCAUGAGGCACUGUGCUCGGCC